GACGAACGCUGGCGGCGUGCUUAACACAUGCAAGUCGAACGAAGAGCGAUGGAAGCUUGCUUCUAUCAAUCUUAGUGGCGAACGGGUGAGUAACGCGUAAUCAACCUGCCCUUCAGAGGGGGACAACAGUUGGAAACGACUGCUAAUACCGCAUACGAUCUAAUCUCGGCAUCGAGGAUAGAUGAAAGGUGGCCUCUACAUGUAAGCUAUCACUGAAGGAGGGGAUUGCGUCUGAUUAGCUAGUUGGAGGGGUAAAGGCCCACCAAGGCGAUGAUCAGUAGCCGGUCUGAGGGGAUGAACGGCCACAUUGGGACUGAGACACGGCCCAGACUCCUACGGGAGGCAGCAGUGGGGAAUCUUCCGCAAUGGACGAAAGUCUGACGGAGCAACGCCGCGGGAGGGAUGACAGCCUUCGGGUUGUAAAGCUCUGUUAGUCGGGACGAAAGGCCUUCUUGCGAAUAGUGAGAAGGAUUGACGGUACCGGAAUAGAAAGCAACGGCUAACUACGUG
rnacentral:rRNA from 1 species